CCCACGGGUGGCAGCAGUGGGGAAUAUUGGACAAUGGGGGGAACCCUGAUCCAGCCAUGCCGCGUGUGUGAAGAAGGCCCUCGGGUUGUAAAGCACUUUCAGUGAGGAAGAACGCCUGGUGGUUAAUACCCAUCAGGAAAGACAUCACUCACAGAAGAAGCACCGGCUAACUCCGUGCCAGCAGCCGCGGUAAUACGGAGGGUGCGAGCGUUAAUCGGAAUUACUGGGCGUAAAGCGCGCGUAGGUGGCUUGAUAAGCCGGUUGUGAAAGCCCCGGGCUCAACCUGGGAACGGCAUCCGGAACUGUCAAGCUAGAGUGCAGGAGAGGAAGGUAGAAUUCCCGGUGUAGCGGUGAAAUGCGUAGAGAUCGGGAGGAAUACCAGUGGCGAAGGCGGCCUUCUGGACUGACACUGACACUGAGGUGCGAAAGCGUGGGUAGCAAACAGGAUUAGAUUCCCUUGUAGUC
rnacentral:rRNA from 1 species